GUAAAGCUGAUGGUGCUGUUCACAUCAGAAAUUGCAGCACUGAAGAACAGAGUUCAUGCAGACUUUUACAACAUGCAUCAGCUACAGCAUUUGUUUGUUGAUGGUACCAGCUGUCAAAAACCAAGCAAGUGGCAGUGCUAGAGGUGCCACAAAAGUGCGAAGGAAGUGUCAGGCUGGAUGUCAAAAUGAACACCUUGGAGAACUGGAUGAUGGAACAGACGGUAAAAAUCAGCUAAACAUCAGAGAAAAUGGAGGAAGAGGUCAAAACUGUGAACAGGAACUAGAAGAAAGUGUAGCAGAAAAAGACUUGUCACAAACUUCGAGAGAUUUGGAGAAAAUGAUGUCAAAACACAUCUUCCUCAAGCCCAUGCUGAGUAUCUCUGAUUUGGUUAAUUUCUUGACCCAGAGAUGCUGGGUGGCCUCUGGCCGCUGACCUCCUGAUUGCCAUCCCUCCCCCAUCACCACAACUCAAUAAUCAAACCAGCAACUGAGGAGUUACUCUACACUCUUCUUUACCUCCCAACCACCCCGUUCCAGCUGCUAAUCAUCAUGCUGAUUCUACCUGUAAAAUACAGCUCGAUUUGUUUGGUUUUCUCCAUCUCCACAGCUGGCACCCUCUCUACGUCUCUGCCAUCUGUCACCUAGACAACACAGCAUCUUCCAAAUGAGUGCCUCUAUUUCCAGGGUGAUCUUAAAACAGAAAUCAGAUUUUCACCCCUGCUGAAUAUCCUUCAGGGUCUCUUCUCUGCACCCAGCUGGAAUCCAAACACUGGUCCAGGAAGCCCCGCCUGCCUCUCCUGCCUCACCCAGAUGGCUCUACCCUUUGCCCACCUCACUUCAGCCACAGUGGCCUCACCUAAGUGCCUCCACAUUUGGUAUCUAUUCAUUCUCUAGCCAGUGCACCUCAGAAUGCCUGGAAUUCAGCUGGGCAUGGUGGCCCAUUCCUGUAAUUCCAGCACUUUGUGAGGCCAAGGUGGGUGGAUCACUUGAG
rnacentral:lncRNA from 1 species